GACGAACGCUGGCGGCGUGCUUAACACAUGCAAGUCGAACGGAAAGGCCCCUUUGGGGGUACUCGAGUGGCGAACGGGUGAGUAACACGUGAGUAACCUGCCCUUGACUUCGGGAUAACUUCAGGAAACUGGGGCUAAUACCGGAUAGGAAUCCUUGCUGCAUGGUGGGGGUUGGAAAGCUUCGGCGGUUUUGGAUGGACUCGCGGCUUAUCAGCUUGUUGGUGGGGUAGUUGCUUACCAAGGCUUUGACGGGUAGCCGGCCUGAGAGGGCGACCGGCCACAUUGGGACUGAGAUACGGCCCAGACUCCUACGGGAGGCAGCAGUGGGGAAUAUUGCACAAUGGGCGGAAGCCUGAUGCAGCAACGCCGCGUGCGGGAUGACGGCCUUCGGGUUGAAAACCGCUUUCAGCAGGGGCGAAGCUUGUGGUGACGGUACCUGCAGAAGAAGCACCGGCUAACUACGUG
rnacentral:rRNA from 1 species